rnacentral:rRNA from 1 species
GGGUUGUGAGGUUAAGCGACUAAGCGUACACGGUGGAUGCCCUGGCAGUCAGAGGCGAUGAAGGACGUGCUAAUCUGCGAUAAGCGUCGGUAAGGUGAUAUGAACCGUUAUAACCGGCGAUUUCCGAAUGGGGAAACCCAGUGUGAUUCGUCACACUAUCAUUAACUGAAUCCAUAGGUUAAUGAGGCGAACCGGGGGAACUGAAACAUCUAAGUACCCCGAGGAAAAGAAAUCAACCGAGAUUCCCCCAGUAGCGGCGAGCGAACGGGGAGCAGCCCAGAGCCUGAAUCAGUGUGUGUGUUAGUGGAAGCGUCUGGAAAGGCGCGCGAUACAGGGUGACAGCCCCGUACACAAAAAUGCACAUGCUGUGAGCUCGAUGAGUAGGGCGGGACACGUGGUAUCCUGUCUGAAUAUGGGGGGACCAUCCUCCAAGGCUAAAUACUCCUGACUGACCGAUAGUGAACCAGUACCGUGAGGGAAAGGCGAAAAGAACCCCGGCGAGGGGAGUGAAAAAGAACCUGAAACCGUGUACGUACAAGCAGUGGGAGCACAGAGCAAUCUGUGUGACUGCGUACCUUUUGUAUAAUGGGUCAGCGACUUAUAUUCUGUAGCAAGGUUAACCGAAUAGGGGAGCCGAAGGGAAACCGAGUCUUAACUGGGCGUUAAGUUGCAGGGUAUAGACCCGAAACCCGGUGAUCUAGCCAUGGGCAGGUUGAAGGUUGGGUAACACUAACUGGAGGACCGAACCGACUAAUGUUGAAAAAUUAGCGGAUGACUUGUGGCUGGGGGUGAAAGGCCAAUCAAACCGGGAGAUAGCUGGUUCUCCCCGAAAGCUAUUUAGGUAGCGCCUCGUGAAUUCAUCUCCGGGGGUAGAGCACUGUUUCGGCAAGGGGGUCAUCCCGACUUACCAACCCGAUGCAAACUGCGAAUACCGGAGAAUGUUAUCACGGGAGACACACGGCGGGUGCUAACGUCCGUCGUGAAGAGGGAAACAACCCAGACCGCCAGCUAAGGUCCCAAAGUCAUGGUUAAGUGGGAAACGAUGUGGGAAGGCCCAGACAGCCAGGAUGUUGGCUUAGAAGCAGCCAUCAUUUAAAGAAAGCGUAAUAGCUCACUGGUCGAGUCGGCCUGCGCGGAAGAUGUAACGGGGCUAAACCAUGCACCGAAGCUGCGGCAGCGACGCUUAUGCGUUGUUGGGUAGGGGAGCGUUCUGUAAGCCUGUGAAGGUGUGCUGUGAGG